rnacentral:rRNA from 1 species
GGCGUAGGGCGCAAGCGUUGUCCGGAUUUAUUGGGCGUAAAGAGCUCGUAGGCGGCUUGUUGCGUCGUCCGUGAAAACCUGUGGCUCAACUACAGGCUUGCGGUCGAUACGGGCGGGCUGGAGUUCGGUAGGGGAGACUGGAAUUCCUGGUGUAGCGGUGAAAUGCGCAGAUAUCAGGAGGAACACCGGUGGCGAAGGCGGGUCUCUGGGCCGAUACUGACGCUGAGGAGCGAAAGCGUGGGGAGCGAACAGG